AUAUGUCCGAGUGGUGAAGGAGCCAGAUUCGAAAUAUGUUGUGCGUUGCCUGCGCAGGUUCGAAUCCUGCUAU
rnacentral:tRNA from 1 species